UGUGUGUGUGUGUGUGUGUGUGUGUGUGGCAAGGGGUCCUGGAAAUGGGACUUGGGUUGUCAGAAAGUGCUUUUAUCUGGUGAGCCAUCUCACUGGCGCAGACCAGUGAGGGAGAACAGGGCCAAGUGGACUUCUUAGAGGAAAGGCAUUCAGAGGGGCAUUCUGCAUUUUAUUCUCACUUAGAAUGAAGACCAGUCUCCUCUGGCCCAAGAAGAUGCCCUGCUUUCUGUUCCUAACACAUCUGUCUUCGCAGUACUGGACCCAGAGCGAGCAAGACCAUGACAGAAAACUUGAAUCCAGAAAUGCAUUAGUUCACAUAAAUAUGCCUAGGUAA
rnacentral:lncRNA from 1 species